rnacentral:rRNA from 1 species
CUAUACAUGCAGUCGAGCGGACGUGCGGGAGCUUGCUCCCGUUCGUUAGCGGCGGACGGGUGAGUAACACGUGGGCAACCUGCCUGUAAGACUGGGAUAACUUCGGGAAACCGGAGCUAAUACCGGAUAAUCCAUUCCCUCACCUGAGGGAAUGCUGAAAGACGGUUUCGGCUGUCACUUACAGAUGGGCCCGCGGCGCAUUAGCUAGUUGGUGGGGUAAUGGCUCACCAAGGCGACGAUGCGUAGCCGACCUGAGAGGGUGAUCGGCCACACUGGGACUGAGACACGGCCCAGACUCCUACGGGAGGCAGCAGUAGGGAAUCUUCCGCAAUGGACGAAAGUCUGACGGAGCAACGCCGCGUGAGUGAUGAAGGUUUUCGGAUCGUAAAACUCUGUUGUCAGGGAAGAACAAGUAUUGGAGUAACUGCCAGUACCUUGACGGUACCUGACCAGAAAGCCACGGCUAACUACGUGCCAGCAGCCGCGGUAAUACGUAGGUGGCAAGCGUUGUCCGGAAUUAUUGGGCGUAAAGCGCGCGCAGGCGGUUUCUUAAGUCUGAUGUGAAAGCCCACGGCUCAACCGUGGAGGGUCAUUGGAAACUGGGAAACUUGAGUGCAGAAGAGGAGAGCGGAAUUCCACGUGUAGCGGUGAAAUGCGUAGAGAUGUGGAGGAACACCAGUGGCGAAGGCGGCUCUCUGGUCUGUAACUGACGCUGAGGCGCGAAAGCGUGGGGAGCGAACAGGAUUAGAUACCCUGGUAGUCCACGCCGUAAACGAUGAGUGCUAAGUGUUAGAGGGUUUCCGCCCUUUAGUGCUGCAGCAAACGCAUUAAGCACUCCGCCUGGGGAGUACGGCCGCAAGGCUGAAACUCAAAGGAAUUGACGGGGGCCCGCACAAGCGGUGGAGCAUGUGGUUUAAUUCGAAGCAACGCGAAGAACCUUACCAGGUCUUGACAUCCUCUGACAAUCCUGGAGACAGGACGUUCCCCUUCGGGGGACAGAGUGACAGGUGGUGCAUGGUUGUCGUCAGCUCGUGUCGUGAGAUGUUGGGUUAAGUCCCGUAACGAGCGCAACCCUUGAUCUUAGUUGCCAGCAUUCAGUUGGGCACUCUAAGGUGAUUGCCGGUGACAACCCGGAAGGAAGGUGGGGAUGACGUCAAAUCAUCAUGCCCCUUAUGGCAUGGGGUGCACACGUGAUACAAUCGAUGGUACAAAGGGCUGGGAAACCGCGAGGUGGAGCGAAUCCCAUAAAACCAUUGUCAGUUCGGAUUGCAGGGUGCAACUCGCAUGCACGAAGCCGGAAUCGAUAGUAAUCGCGGAUUAGCAUGCAGCGGUGAAUACGUUCCCGGACUUUGUACACACCGCCCGUCACACCACGAGAGUUUGUAACACCCGAAGUCGGUGGGGUAACCUAAGAGUAUACGGAGUAAACUUAAUUCGUAAGCAUUGCCUUA